ensembl:lncRNA
GGAUAAUGGAAACACUUGCGCCACAUAAUUUUUACAUCAAAUUUCUAUGCGAACAUUCUAAAUGUCGACAAAAUACAAAUUACUGGACAAGUUCAUGACAACAUAGCUACAGUCAUGUUGGGUCCCAUCUUUGACAUGUUGAAUACAUAAGGACAUGAGUCCUGUCUAUGUCAAAUAUUGUCAUGCCCUGAUCUGUUUCACCCGUUCCUGUGAUUGUCUCCACCUCCUCCAAGUGUCACUUAUUUUCGACAGUGUAUUUAUCCCUGUGUUUCCUGUCUCUCUGUGCCAGUUCGUCUUGUAUGUUUAGUCAAGUCAACCACCGUGGUGUUCCCCGUACUCCCUUUCUAUUCUCUUUUGCUAGUCUUCCCAGUUUUGACCGCUGCCUGACUCUGGACUACUUUCCCGCCUGCCUGAUCAUCCUGCCUGCCCUGACCUUGAAUCUGCCUACCCUUCGGUAUCUAUUGGACUCCGAACUGGUUUUGACCUUUGCGUUGUAAGCUAAUGUUUUAGGAGAGCAGGCUAGCUCCCUGCAGAAUCUAGACAAUAGAGAAUGGGGAAUGAGAUAUGGCUAUUGCAGUGCCCAGAUGAGGUGAGAGCAAACUGCUACAGAGAUAAAAAGGAAUCUCCAAAUGCUAUGUUGAAAGAGCACCACGGAUGAAGGAGGCGGAGGAAAACAGACAGCUUCUAUCUACCAUACCUUCACCAAGUCAUGCAAUGUUUGCUUCAUGAACAAUUGUUACAUCUGAAAUAAAUACAGAAUUAUUUUAGUUUAUUCUGUUUAAUGUUUUUUAUGCUGGAUGUGGGUAAUUUAGCAGGUCUAUUGUAUAAUGUAUUGUUUUGAAAUGUUUAACUGUUUAUUAACUAUCUAUUCAGUCAAAACUCACAUUAUUUUAGCAAACAUAAAAUAAGUAUGUUUGUACUGUUACUUUUUACAUGCUGAAACAGUCAUUAGUUUUGAGCUAGACUAUGAUCAGGGAAAUGUCUACUACCCUUAAUGUUGCUGAUGAAUGAAAUUAGCACCGUUUCUAAUAGUUUGUUGCUACUGUCUGAGGAAGUGAGCAAUAUGAAAUACAUUGGAGGAAGGGAGAAUGAAUGUGAAAUCAGAACUUGGACAAUGUCAGGGAAUUAAGUAGGUAAAUGUACAGCCUGCAGUAUCAAUGACAAAAGAAACUGUGCAGAGGUAGCCUUAAGAUAACAUUAGAUAUGUGCAUGUUACGUACUGGACAGACGGCUAGCCAAAUAUUUUCAAAACAUUGGAUUACCAACUUCAGCGGUGGCAUCUCAAUUUACACCACAUGUUCACAUGGACGUACAUUCAAUACUGAACAAAAAUAUAAAUGCAGCAUGUAAAGUGUUUUCAUGAAAUAAAAUAUCCCAGACAUUUUCCAUACAGACAAGAAGCUUAUUUAUCUCAAAUGUUGUGCACCCUGGCCCUUCCUCCGCUGCUUCUGUAAAAAUGUAUAAAUUCCUUUUUAGAAAAUAUUUAAAUACAG